CAAUACAUGUUUAUAAACAAAACAGUCUACAAAAAGGAAACUGUCAAGUAGCCAAAUAGCCAAAUAUUAAACAGCGUUAAAACAUUGGAGAGCAAAGUUGCUUUCAGAAAAAAGAACGAGAGAUGUUCCGCCCAAAGGGGAUUGCAGUUAUGUUGGCUUUCUUGAGCAUAUGUCCGAUUGGAGCAGGAGGGCUGAAUGUCUGUUAUUGGACUUGCUUGCCAAUAGUCGGGUUGGGAGGCUCGGCAGGUUUGACCGCUUUGGGAUUCACUGCUACCGGCAUUGGUGCAGGCACCUGGGCGGCUUCGUGGAUGGCAUCCUUUGCAGGCGCAGUGCCCAAAGAAACGGCAGGUUACACAGCCCCUGCGAUAUGUGAAUACUUGUGCCGCUAAUGUGUAAGCGGUUUUAAAGAUUCGACGGAUUACGAUUUCGGAACAAUGAAAUUAAAACUGAAUUUUUUUUUUUACUUGUAAUGGCAAUGCUUUGAAAACAUGUGUAUAAAUAACCGUGAUGAAAACCACAAAAUCAAUAAUGCCUAUAUUCAUCAUCGGAGACGAAACGUUAUUACUCUGGUUAGCAUUCUUAUUUUAAAUAAUAUAUUUUAUAACAAUAAUAAAUGUCACUUGAAAUUAAUGCAAAGGUAUACACAUUUUACUUCCUGUUUUUUUUUUUUUACAUUCUAUGACCGAUUUGUACAUGAAGUAUAAAGUGUUUUUAUCAUUGCUUUACUGAUACCAAAUAUGACUUAUAUUUUGAUUGCCGUGUGUUUGUUUUUUCUGUGUCAUCUAGUGACCUAUGCUGUUUCAUUUUAUUUGGUAAGUGGUCAUUGAUCGCUUAGGCCAUUAAAAGGCCUCGUGCUGUUAUAAGUUUUAUCUUAUGCUGGUGCAGUUAAGUUUACAUUAAAAAAAAUAGCAACACAUAGUAUAUUGACAUUUGACUCCAUAAUUGAGAUUGUAGAAACCAUAAGAUUUUUUUUCAUAUUUCAAUAUGCAUGCAUUAUCAGUGUGGUAUGUUUUACAGCAACAGGAACUGCAUUUUAAAUUACACACAAAUCUAUGUACCUAUGACCCAUAACUCACGCUUUCACACAGUAACUGUAAUAAACAUGAGUAUGUUUCAAUAUUUCUUUUGGAAAACUGAUAUCAUCAAAGUUCUUGAAGACCUGAUAUAGUAUGCUCUUUCCUUUUGUGUAGUGGUAAGCCUGUUCCGGCCAGCUCAGUUGAUAGAAUCAUAGCUGUGUACGAUGUGUCAUCCUUUCCUUAAAUUCAACGCCACUCAUGUUAAGAAAUUGUUCGUAAGUUUGCUGAAUACAUUGAAAAGUAA